AGAUCCGGUCUUCUUCCCUGCUAUAGUUGUACUUGAUAGCUCAUCCGACGAGGAGGUUAAAGUAAGGAAAGUAUCCACUAGUCUAAAGGAUGUUGGAGACAAACACAACAUCAGUGUUGCUGGAAGAGAACGCCAGUAAGAUAAAGUCGGAUGAUGUGGGAUGGGAGUAUGGGAGUCUAGCCGAUCUUUCCAACAAGGUGAAAGUGAAGUGUUUGUUUUGUAACCAUGUGAUCAUUGGAGGUGUUUAUCGUCACAAGCAGCAUGUGGCUCACGUUGGUAAUUUUGUGGCUAAAUGCAAGAA